GCUGACGUCCACGGAUCCCUGCGACGAGUUCCGGCCAAUGGUCACCGACCUUUUCUUCAUCAAAUACUCGAAUUCUCGGCCCUCCAGCCGGGCUACAGCCGACCCCGACAUCCCGCUUACCACCGCCAUCUUCUGAGCUCGGCAAGGAACGUGCCACACCGGGGUUACGGCGGCUCCGACCCACCGCCGCGAAGGAGAGGAAAAAAUAAGCAUCUGGUCCAAUCAAAAGUGGACAAACGGGCGGAAGUGCAGUGAUGGACGUCCGUUUCAACCAAUGACAAGCGAGUCUGUGUCGGCAUUGCCGCAGUGUUUACCAAUUGCAACCAUAAUAAAAAUAGCCGAAGCAAUGCGUGGUAGGUUGCGUUGCACGCUGACACGCAGAUGAAUGGAAAGAUAGAAGACUCGGCACAGUGGAUUCAUGGAUUGGAUUGGAACCCUUUGUUUUCUGUAUGCCUGGCAUAUCGGUAGAACUGAAAAGGAGGAAUAUGGCAAAAACUCUACAGCAAAUAUAACACAAGACUCAUUAACCUCUUGAAUAAAUUCGGUCAUUGCUUUCACUGAGUUAUACAGUAUUUGUUGUUCUAACUGCAAAUACUUUGUUACUGUAAUCAAUAAAACAAACGUUUUUG